AUUGUGAGCUCGAUGAGUAGGACGGGACACGUGGUAUCCUGUCUGAAUAUGGGGGGACCAUCCUCCAAGGCUAAAUACUCCUGACUGACCGAUAGUGAACCAGUACCGUGAGGGAAAGGCGAAAAGAACCCCGGCGAGGGGAGUGAAAAAGAACCUGAAACCGUGUACGUACAAGCAGUGGGAGCACGCUUAGGCGUGUGACUGCGUACCUUUUGUAUAAUGGGUCAGCGACUUAUAUUCUGUAGCAAGGUUAACCGAAUAGGGGAGCCGAAGGGAAACCGAGUCUUAACUGGGCGUUAAGUUGCAGGGUAUAGACCCGAAACCCGGUGAUCUAGCCAUGGGCAGGUUGAAGGUUGGGUAACACUAACUGGAGGACCGAACCGACUAAUGUUGAAAAAUUAGCGGAUGACUUGUGGCUGGGGGUGAAAGGCCAAUCAAACCGGGAGAUAGCUGGUUCUCCCCGAAAGCUAUUUAGGUAGCGCCUCGUGAAUUCAUCUCCGGGGGUAGAGCACUGUUUCGGCAAGGGGGUCAUCCCGACUUACCAACCCGAUGCAAACUGCGAAUACCGGAGAAUGUUAUCACGGGAGACACACGGCGGGUGCUAACGUCCGUCGUGAAGAGGGAAACAACCCAGACCGCCAGCUAAGGUCCCAAAGUCAUGGUUAAGUGGGAAACGAUGUGGGAAGGCCCAGACAGCCAGGAUGUUGGCUUAGAAGCAGCCAUCAUUUAAAGAAAGCGUAAUAGCUCACUGGUCGAGUCGGCCUGCGCGGAAGAUGUAACGGGGCUAAACCAUGCACCGAAGCUGCGGCAGCGACACUAUGUGUUGUUGGGUAGGGGAGCGUUCUGUAAGCCUGUGAAGGUGUACUGUGAGGUAUGCUGGAGGUAUCAGAAGUGCGAAUGCUGACAUAAGUAACGAUAAAGCGGGUGAAAAGCCCGCUCGCCGGAAGACCAAGGGUUCCUGUCCAACGUUAAUCGGGGCAGGGUGAGUCGACUCCUAAGGCGAGGCCGAAAGGCGUAGUCGAUGGGAAACAGGUUAAUAUUCCUGUACUUGGUGUUACUGCGAAGGGGGGACGGAGAAGGCUAUGUUGGCCGGGCGACGGUUGUCCCGGUUUAAGCGUGUAGGCUGGUUUUCCAGGCAAAUCCGGAAAACUAAGGCUGAGGCGUGAUGACGAGGCACUACGGUGCUGAAGCAACAAAUGCCCUGCUUCCAGGAAAAGCCUCUAAGCAUCAGGUAACAUCAAAUCGUACCCCAAACCGACACAGGUGGUCAGGUAGAGAAUACCAAGGCGCUUGAGAGAACUCGGGUGAAGGAACUAGGCAAAAUGGUGCCGUAACUUCGGGAGAAGGCACGCUGAUAUGUAGGUGAAGUCCCUCGCGGAUGGAGCUGAAAUCAGUCGAAGAUACCAGCUGGCUGCAACUGUUUAUUAAAAACACAGCACUGUGCAAACACGAAAGUGGACGUAUACGGUGUGACGCCUGCCCGGUGCCGGAAGGUUAAUUGAUGGGGUCAGCGCAAGCGAAGCUCUUGAUCGAAGCCCCGGUAAACGGCGGCCGUAACUAUAACGGUCCUAAGGUAGCGAAAUUCCUUGUCGGGUAAGUUCCGACCUGCACGAAUGGCGUAAUGAUGGCCAGGCUGUCUCCACCCGAGACUCAGUGAAAUUGAACUCGCUGUGAAGAUGCAGUGUACCCGCGGCAAGACGGAAAGACCCCGUGAACCUUUACUAUAGCUUGACACUGAACAUUGAGCCUUGAUGUGUAGGAUAGGUGGGAGGCUUUGAAGUGUGGACGCCAGUCUGCAUGGAGCCGACCUUGAAAU
rnacentral:rRNA from 1 species